rnacentral:rRNA from 1 species
GUGAGGAAUUUUCCGCAAUGGGCGAAAGCCUGACGGAGCAAUGCCGCGUGAAGGAUGAAGGCCUAUGGGUUGUAAACUUCUUUUCUCAGAAAAGAAUUAUGACGGUAUCUGAGGAAUAAGCAUCGGCUAACUCUGUGCCAGCAGCCGCGGUAAGACAGAGGAUGAAGCGUUAUCCGGAAUGAUUGGGCGUAAAGCGUCUGUAGGUUCUUUAAAAAGUAUUCUGUCAAAGAUUAGGGCUUAACCCUAGAUAGGCAGAAUAAACUUUUAAGCUAGAGUUUGGUAGAGGCAGAGGGAAUUCCCGGUGGAGCGGUAAAAUGCGUAGAUAUCGGGAGGAACACCAAAGGCGAAGGCACUCUGCUGGGCCAAUACUAACACUGAGAGACGAAAGCGAGGGGAGCAAAUGGGAUUAGAAACCCGGGUAGUCC